ACUAUAAUUAAUAAUAAUUAUGUGACUCAUGUGUAAUUAUUUAUUCAUGUUUUCUCUAUAUAUAUCGGAUGUACAACCCUUAAUCAAUAAGACUUAUUAUUAUAUCAUGGUAACAGAGCAAAGGUAAACUCUUCCGAAACCUAAAAAAAAAACCCUAAACCUUCUUCCUCUUCUUCUUCGUUCGCUGCCGAUCAAAUCAAAAAAUAAUUCUCUUUUUGUCUGCUUCUCUUCAUUAACAAUGGCACCCGAUCCUCUUGCCACUCUUUCCUCCGGUGUGAAAUUGUUUCUUCGCAAUCUUCACAAUCUCAUCACAGAAAAAUAACCCGAUCAUAAUUAUCCAGCCUGGUCGAAUAGCGUCAAGACGGCGCUCUCCGCAAAUCUUCUUCUUGGUUGGAUCGACGGCACCAGAAUAGUACCGCCAGUCAAUAUAACCGUCACGGACAAAGAUGGUACAAACUCGACAGAACCAAAUCCCGCUCAUAUGUCGUGGGCUCUUAUCGAUGCUCAAAUUCAUGCCUGCCUUCUCGUUGUGAUUAGCCCGCAAAUUCAGAAGUAUGCUCGUGGCUUUACUACUUCUGGGGCUCUUUGGAAUGCUCUUGCUACCCGCUUUAAUUCCUUAUCUACAGCCCAUGUUUUUCAGUUGCGUGAUCGUCUUCACACCCUUCGCAAGGGCACUCGCACCAUGGUCCAAUAUCUAGACGAAGCAGCCUCGAUUAUCUCUGAUCUUGAUGCCCUCAAUGAAGUUGUUCCCGAAUGAGAUGUCAUCAAUGCUGUUGUUCGGGGUUGCCUGCUGAAUUUUCCUCUCUAAAACAGCAUAUCCGCUAUCACGAUGGUCCACUCACACUAAAUCAAAUUUCGGGCUGGUUGAAUGCAGAAGAAUUAAACCUUGCCAUGGAAUCCAAAUUGUCCCUCGCUGACUCGACAGCUCAGCCAACCGACACUGCCCUUUACGCGGCUGGACAGCAUGGUGGCAGCCGUCCAGGCAGACGCGGUGCACACCGCGGCGGAGGCAGAGGACGCCAGCAAUCCAUCGUUCACAGCAGCAGUUCUGGCCGCAGCAGAUCUGACCAGGACAACAGACGUGGUGGCGGCGGCAAUCUCUCUUCAAAUCGCGACCUGCCCGUGUGCCAAAUCUGUGAAAAGUGAGGCCACGCGGCUCGCGUAUGUUGGUAUCGCUACGACGAGCAAUCUGCUCCUGCUCCAGACGGCGGGACUCGUGCGAUGCAUGCAUCUACAAGCAACUCUUCAAGUGAUUGGUAUCUGGAUACUGGUGCAAAUUCUCACGUGACGCCUGAUUACUCUCAACUCCAUAAUCCGACUUUCUAUUCCGGCGCCAACACAAUCACUGUAGAUAGUGGACAAUUUAACCAAACAGAUCCGGUACAAGGGGCGCUGUGAGCAAGGUCUAUACACUCUUCCUUCCAAGCUAUCUGCGUCUAUCUCAUCUUAAAUUUUUCUAGGAGAACAAAAUGAAGCUAAUUUACAGCUCUUGUCAUAUAUCUAUAAUUGCUUCCAAUAAUUAUGAAUAUAUAGUGAAUUUUUUGCCCAAACAAGAUGUCCAAAUAAGAACAUCCAUGCCCAAACCGAUAAACUAUUCAUACCAAAAGGGUUAUAUCCAUUGAUAAGUUGUGAAGAGUUUAACCAUAAAUAAUCCCUUCAUCAGUUGCUAAUCAAGCCAUUCGUUCCUCAACCUGGCACCGCCGACUUGGUCAUCCAUGUGCCGAAGUCACUAAGUCCAUUAUGUCUGUCUUAGGUUUUUCAUUUUCCACUAAGGACCAUUGUGAGUCAUGUUAUGUAGCCAAAUCGAGUCGUUUACCGUUUAUCUUAUCUAAUACUAAGGCCACAGCGCCAUUUGAAUUAAUACACUCUGAUGUUUGGGGUCCAACCUCCAUCUCCUCUUUUAAUGGUUUUCGUUACUAUAUUUGUUUUGUUGAUGAUUAUAGUAAAUUUACAUGGCUUUAUCCCUUAAAACGCAAAUCUGAAGCAUAUUCGGUUUUUGUAAAUUUUGAACGCAUGGUCAAAACCCAAUUCAACUCCAACAUCAAAAUCUUUCGCAGUGACAAUGAAAAGAAUUUUUAAACAAUGCCUUUGGCUCUUUUCUCCAUUCUCUUGGCAUUAUUCAUCACACAUCUUGCCCCUAUACUCCUGAACAAAAUGGUGUUGCCGAACGCAAACACCGUCACCUCAUUGAAACCGUCGUCACUCUCCUUCAUGAGUCUCAUCUCCCUGCAUGAGGCGUUGGCCACUGCCAACUAUCUCAUCAACCACAUGCCCAAACCCUCCCUCUCUAACACAUCUCCUUAUGAAUGUCUCUACACACACCGUUCGGAUUACACUCACCUUCGCCCCUUUGGUUGUCUUGCCUAUCCUUGGCUACGCCCUCACACUCAACACAAACUUCAACUCCGGUCCACACCAUGCAUCUUUCUAGGCUACCAUCCCUCCAUAAAAGGAUACAAAUGUUUUGAACCCAUCUCUCAAAAAACAUAUGUCUCUCGUCAUAUUCGUUUUAUCGAGGAGGACUUUCCCUAUCCCCGGUUAAGUUCUGUCACUGCCACGUCCAACCCACUCGGUAUUACUCCAAUCUUUCCACCGAGCUCACAUGGCCUUGUACCAGCACCCAUUAACCCAUCCAUCAUACACACACCACCCAAUCCCAACACUCUCAUCCCAUCUGGAUCACCCAGCACCCACAAUUUACCCAUCCCACCAAUUUUCAACCCUCCUCAUUAACAACCUCCACCAGCUGAAACAGCACCACCUCCACCCCCACCCCCAUCCCCUUUACAUCACAUGCAAACCUAUUCCAAAUCCGGCAUUUUCAAGCCCAAAGCCUACACCACCACUUUACCUGCUCCCUCUCCCUCUGAACCUAUUACCUACAAACAAGCAUCUACCAACCCCCUUUGGUGUCAGGCUAAGGAUGAUGAAUACAGGUCUCUUAUUAAUCAACAUACUUGGCAAUUGGUACCAGCACCCAGACAUCGAAAACCAAUUGGUUGCAAGUGGGUGCACCGCAUCAAACGUAAUGCCGAUGGAUCCAUCUCUCGUUACAAAGCUCGACUAGUUGCGAAGGGUUAUCAUCAAGAGUAUGACAUUGACUAUAAGGAAACUUUCAGCCCAGUCGUCAAGCAGCAGACUAUCCUUCUAGUCUUGUCUCUCGCUCUUCAUAAUGACUGGCCCCUACACCAGCUAGAUGUGAGCAAUGCUUUUCUCCAUGGCACUCUCGACGAGGACAUUUAUAUGGAUCAACCGCCUGGCUACGUUGAUUCCGCCACCCACAUCUUGUCUGCAAGCUCAAGAAGUCCCUCUAUGGUCUCAAGCAGGCCCCCCGUGCUUGGUAUAAUCGUUUCUCUUCCUUUCUGUAGGAUAUUGGUUGCCGAACGUGCACUCAUGACACAUAUAUCGGAUGUACUAAAUAUUUCUCGUGUGUUUAUUUUUUUGGUUCAUAUAUUAGUAUCUCAAAUAAAGAAUUGUUUAUGAUAAAUAUUUCUCGCGUGUUUAUUUUUUUGGUUCAUAUAUUAGUAUCAUUCAUAUGUAGGACAAUUGAUCAAUUCAAUUUAAUAUAUUUAGUCAUUUUUAUAUA